ACACCAUAUCUGCUGUUGAUGUUGGUAACAGUGACCAUCAGAAACUUCAGGAAGUGAAAGAAGAUCUCCCAUAGAAAAGGAAACCAUGCAGAACACAGAGAAGAAUCCAAAAAGGACAUGUCUGUUGGCAAACAACUUGGGAGAGAACCAGAAGUGAACCCAGUUGCUUGUGUCAUUAUUUUGCCUUAGCCUCCAAGAGCCUGAACAGCCCAAGGAGGACAAGACAGUCUUGACCUAAGGGAAAGAUAUGCUUUAUUUACAAGAAAACAUUAAAAAAUCUGUUUUGUACAGGAAA